rnacentral:rRNA from 1 species
AGCGAACGCUGGCGGCAGGCUUAACACACGCAAGUCGAGCGCCCCGCAAGGGGAGCGGCAGACGGGUGAGUAACGCGUGGGAAUCUACCCAGCUCUACGGAAUAACCCAGGGAAACUUGGACUAAUACCGUAUACGUCCUCCGGGAGAAAGAUUUAUCGGAGUUGGAUGAGCCCGCGUUGGAUUAGCUAGUUGGUGGGGUAAUGGCCUACCAAGGCGACGAUCCAUAGCUGGUCUGAGAGGAUGAUCAGCCACAUUGGGACUGAGACACGGCCCAAACUCCUACGGGAGGCAGCAGUGGGGAAUAUUGGACAAUGGGCGAAAGCCUGAUCCAGCCAUGCCGCGUGAGUGAUGAAGGCCCUAGGGUUGUAAAGCUCUUUCAACGGUGAAGAUAAUGACGGUAACCGUAGAAGAAGCCCCGGCUAACUUCGUGCCAGCAGCCGCCGUAAAAC